UCUUCUUUCAUACCUGAGAAUUUAGAAGCUGAUGUUGUCAUUUUGUGAAUUGCACGUUUCCAAUCUCCAACUUUCCUUUGGCUUUUCAUGGCUCGACCCACUGUUUUAAGCGCUAGCGGCAACCCACCACACUCUCUUGCCAGGGUUUCGGCUAGCUCUGGAAUACUGGUAUGACUGUCAAGAGUGGAUCUGUCGACCAUCUCCUGAAAUAAUUCCCAGGCUUUAUCAUGCGCCAAACUAUACACUUCCAACUUUUUAGCGUCCAUUUGAUCGCAAACACCAGCUGAACGAGUUGUCAAGACUAUUUUGGACCCAUCAUUUAGAUUUUGAAGAGGGACACCCAAUUGUGUUAAAUCAAUGCGCUCCCAUAUAUCAUCCAAUAACAACACAAACUUCUUUCCGCUUAAAAUUCUAGCGAUGUCCGCAGCCUUGUCUCGAAGACUUUUUUUCUCCCAGCUUGGGUCUUCUGAAAAGCCAAUCCUUUUUCCAAUGUCAUCUUGAAGUGUUGACGCAGCCGCCCAGAUAACAACAUCAAAAUUAUGCUGUUGAUGGCAGAAGUUGUUGUUGACUUGUUUUAAAAGGGUAGUUUUGCCGACUCCCCCUAUACCAUACAAGCCGAUAAUUCCCCUGUUAUUUUCCUCAUCAGUGAUACAUCGCCAAACUCGAUCCACUAGUAAUUCUUGACCAACAAUUGUUUGCGCAAGAGGUAAUUCAAUUGCUGCACCAUCUGGCGCCUUCUCAACAACGACUUCAAUUUUUUCUCCGUCCUUCCUUAAAUUGAUCACUCGAUCCGUCAACAUGACCACUUUUCUGCCGAAAUCGUAGCUUGAAGCCAAGUUUUUGGAACAGAGGCCUCCAAGGCACAAUCUAUCCAUUUCUUGAGCUUUAACUUGUUGCAGCUUCGUAAAUUCAUUUUCCAGUUUUUGCACAUCUUCAAGCCACCCUGCGACCUGGUUCGUUCGUCUGGUUCGAGGUCGUUGUUCUUCGACCUCAACCCUGGUCUUCAGAUCGUCCCUUGUUCGAGUCAAUUUGUGCAAUUCAGUCUCCAAGCCCUCAAGAUUUUUUUCGAGACCCCAUAUAUAUUUUGCUUGUUGACCAACGCAGUUUAAAGUUCGAUUAAAAAAGUCUGGUUGUAAGAAAGUUGAGAUUAAGUUACCCAUUGUCGUUCACGAAAAGAGGAAGAGAAGCGAUGGGUACAAUGAAAAGAAUUAUGCUGCUUUGGAGAGGGUUAUAUUUAGAGAAGCACAAUACCGAAAUAAAAAUAUGAUACAUUUGUUGCUUUAUAAUUCAUAUGUCAAAUAUCAAGAAUAUAAUGAUACGCUUACACGUCAUAUAAAAUUUGCAAUUCAACCCAGUAAUCACAUAGUUAAUAUUAAAUCUUAUCAUUUGUUAUCUAAGUGAUAAAUUUAUAUUGAUAAUAUAUUUUUUAGAAUAAAAAUUUUCUACCUUAACUUGGAUGAAGAUUCAAAAUAUUAAGUCAAUGAUAGAUAGAUAAAAAAUAAAAUAAAAUAAAUUUUAACAUUAAUUCCUGGAAUCUGUCACCAUUUUUUUCCCUUAGUAACAACCAUGUUCGCUUGAGAGACCACCACAACAUGAAUAAUUUCUUCUUGGUCGACCAAAUUGGCCUUAAGAGGCUUGUGAUCUCCCUUUCUAUACUUGCAUUUGAUAGCAAAAUGUCCACAAACAUAACAAUUGCCUUUUUAAGGAAUCAAACAAGACUUAAUUAGGCGAUAAACCAGUCUAUUGGCUAGAGCCACUCAAAGUUUGAAUGAAGGUAAUUUUUCUAUCAAGAGAAGAAUUGUAAUCCUUAGAAUAUUUGAGAUGAUUUUGAGUGGUGCCAUAUCAAAAUUGAUAUAUACUAAUUUUGAUAUAUAAUUAUAUGAUUAUAAAUAUAAUGAAUAAUAAUCUAAAAAAAAAUAGGCGAUAAAGUUUAUUACAUCCACGAACAUAAAGGUCACGUUCAAGUAAAUGUGACCGUUGGACGUUGACAGCCCCUAAAAAAGAACCAAAAAAAAUCUAAUUUGAUAAAACGACGUCAGGAUUCGAAAUGGUCACGGGUUAAAAAAUUUAUUGGAAGCAUAAUAUUAACGUGCGCUUGCUUCUUCCAAAACAGCAAGAGACUGAAUGCUGAGCCUCUCUGAAAAAGAAGCUGCGUUCUGUAAGACUGAAACGUUUAGCUGAGACCUUGUGUUAAUUUUUUACAACCCUAAACCCUAAACCCUAAACCACUUGCUCUUAAUUGUCACCCGCAUUACCGUAGGAAUAGGAUUUCUCUCUAUCUCAGUUUUACUAAAUUUUUAAAAAUUUAUUUUUAUGUGUCUUUUAAUUAUAGUAUAUAAAUAAAAUUUUAUUUUUUAAUUUUUUUAAUUUAUUAACUAUCAAUCAUUUUAAAUUAUUUAAUAUGAUCAGAUCAAAAGAAAAUUUUUAUCUUUUAAUUUAACUAUGUCAAUUAAUAUUACAUAUCCUAAUUUUCUUAAAUGAUGCGGCAUUUAUUAAUUAGACACUAAGAUAGCACUAUUAAUUUAUUUAUAUAUUUUAUAAAAAACUAUCAAUCACUUACAUUACAUACUAUAUUCUGAAAAAAAAAUUUGAGUUAUCUAUUAUUAUUUAAAAAGGAGGAGUAAUUUUGGUAUGCUAAGGUUAUUUCACAAACGUAAUAAAGAAAUUUGUGAUGAUGAACACAGUGAUAGGGCAAUUAUUGAAGCAGCAAUGACUUCGUCUGUUGCGCGUGGGAAAUCUAUUAGUAAUAUAAAGGAAAAUAAAAAGUACCCUAUGUCUUUUCAACUAUUAUUAUUUUUCCAAGGCGAACUAGCCAAAUAUGUAUGAUAAAUGUCCCUAAUAUUUUUUCUGUAAAUACAAAGACAAAUUAAAUUCAACUAGAACAAAAGUCUUUCACUGGAACCCAAUAGAUAAAAGACCAAAAUGAUAUCUAGACAUACCUCAUUGUAUAGCAAUGGAAGCUUACAAGUUAAAAUAGUAUUUAUAAUCUUUUGUAACUUUCAAAUUCUGCAUUGGAUUCUGCAACUCAUCAAGAUUAGCUUUUUAGAUCUCAUAUAUAUUUUAGCAUCUCCACGAAGGAAAAAUAAAAUAAAACUGCAAGAAUUGAGUCUGGUGAUAAGAAGCACGCAUGAGAAUGAUGUUACCCAUUUUUGUUAACAAAAAUUUCAAGGAAGAAAAUAAAGUGAGAAAGAAAGAAUUAUGUUUGUGAAAAUGGAAGAGAAGGUAGGAAUUGUAUUAUAAGACUGCAAUGUUAAGUGGCUUGGUUGUGUAGGUGAGACAUUUCAUCGAACUUCUUUACAUUUCCAUCAAACACCUUGUUCUUUAACCGUCUGUGACGUCCUUUAUACCCGUCCAUAGACAUUAAAUUGGCUGAUGUCAAGUGAAUUUGAGACUACAAAUGUGCAGCUCUUGCCUUAAUCUCCUUAGAAUCCUGAAGGGUGAAAACUUAUACCUUAUAGACUUAAGGUACGUUUAGGAUUGAAGUGUUAUAACUUUUAAGCUACAGUUGCUGUAAAAAAAAAAAAUUUAAAUAAUAAUUUUGAUGAAAUUAUUAAUAAUAAUAUAAUAAAUUCUCCAUUAUACAAGUGAAAAAUUAUAUCAACAUAUCUUUCAAGACACAACAAUUAGUAUUUACUAAACACUUUACUACUGUACCUUUUAAGGUACAGGUAUCCAACUUCAAUUCUAAAUGCACUCUCAUAUGUAUACCCUUUAUAUAAGGCUGAUAGAGUAAUGUAAACUAUAUUGUCCUUUUUUUCUUGUGUUAAUUGAAAUAAUUAAAACUCAAAAUUUGUAAGUGAGGCCACUUGAUUGCAGCAAAGGAGAGCAGUGAAGGGAAGAUAAAAUUUUACCGACAUUGAACUUGUUAUUUCUCUCUCUACUAUAUUGUAGUGUUUACUUUUUAGAGUGGGAGUUUGGAGUGUGGAGUGUGGAGUGUGGAUUCCUCCCACUCUCCCACUCUAGUGUUUACUUAUCUUAAAAAAGGGGGAAGUGGGAGUGGGAAUCCGUGGGUCCCACCCAAUUUUGGAGUGGGAAGUGGGAUUCCCACUCCCAUGGGGGGAGGUGGGAGUGGGAAUCCACUCCCCCCUCUUCCCAUUUUAUCCCUAUAAUUAAAUUAAUAAAUAAUAUUUAAUAAAAUAAAUAAUAUCAUAUUUAUUAAAAAUAAUAAUGAUAUCAUAUUUAUUUUAUUAAAUUUAAUAAAAUAAAAAUAAAUAAAUAUUAUAUUUAAAUUAAUAAUAUUAAACAUUAUUAAUUUUAAUAAAUAUUAAUUAAUUAUUUAAUUAAUAAUAAUAAAUAUUUUAUUCUAAAAAAAUAUUAAUUUUGUACUAUAUUAUCAAUAAUAAUAUUUCAUUUGUGUUGUUAUUAUUAAUAAUUUUUAUUCACAUAAUUUAAAUUAAAAUUAAUAAAAAAUUAUGAUUUACAUAAUUAAGAAUAUUAGUAAUUAUUAUUAAUUUAGAAAUAUAAUAAAAUAUUUAUUUUAUUUUCCAAAUAUUUUUUAUUAAUUUUUUAAUUAUAAAUUAUAAUUCUGUACAUAAGGAUAAAAUUGUAAUUUAAAACAAUUUACUCCCAAUCCAAGACAAAGUAAACAAAUAAUUAGGAUUCUGAUUGACAAUCUAUACUUUCACACCCUACUCUACACUCCUAAUCCAAGGAUUCCCACUCCUCAGGAUUCCCACUCCAAUCCAAAAAGUAAACGCAGCAUAUAUAUAUUAGCUUGUUGUUAAUUAUAAUCUUUGCAACCAAAUAAUGUAGAAUAUGUAUACGGGUGCGAAAUUUUCCAUAGGGAAUUCAGUGUUCGAUUUAAACUGCACUUUUAUAGUUUGUUCUCCAUUUACUCCUUACUUUCAGAUCUUUGUGACAAUCACAAUUUUGUCAACCAAAAUAAAGGUCGCAUUCAAGCAAAUUAAAUGUGACCUUUGGACAUUAGCAUCAACCUCUAAAGUGAUAGCAGUAACAAACAGCUCAGCACAAAUAAUUGAGGCCCUGCACUUUCAUUAGAGGAUGGGAGAAGAGAACACUUGAUUUGAUAGCAAGACGCCAAGACCAGGACAGAGACCAAGACGAAGACCGAUGAAAAGCCCUAAACAAACCAAAAAAUAAAAAUAAAAAUGCAGUUAUGAUUAUCGUCGAAUACUUCAAACAUACGACAAGUCCAAGUUUAGCUAAGGCCUAGUGUAUAAAUUUUCUACAAGCUGUUGAAUGAGAAAAUUUGUCUAAUUCUUAAGUCUUACCUGCCAAUCACAUCAUUUUAAAUUUAGUCUGUUGAGUAGAAUUUUACUUUUAUAAUUUUUAUCUCAAAAAUCUAUUUUAAAUUAUAUAAUAUUUAUUAAUUAAAUAAUAAAAUAGCAUAAUUAAUUUAUUUAAAUCCUAUAUUAAAUUAUCAAUCACUAAAUAAAUGACACAUUACAUACUAUAUUAUUUAAAAUAAAAAUUUAAAAUAUUUACCGUUACUUAAAAAAAUUAAUUUCCUUUUCCUAAAGUUAUUUCACAGACGCAAGUACAAAAUUCUGUGAUCAUGCACAAAGUGAUAGGGCAAUUAUUGAAUAAAUAUCUCACCAAAUAUAAUUAUAGCAAAUUAAAUAAAUAUUUACUAUGACUUCAGCAUCUGAGUUCCCACUCUAUAAAUAUGCCAGCAUUUUAAAACAAACAAGACUUAAGCGACAAAUACAAUUUUGUCGACGAGUAAAAAGGUCGCAUUCAAGCCAAAGGAGAAAUUCUUUCCAGUGGGAGGAUUCUAAAACCAAGAAUCCACUGCUGAAAUUUUAUUAACUGAAAAUAGAUAACGAUUGACACACCAGACAACAACAACAAGAUGCAAUUAAAUCUAAUGAAAAUUAAAAAAAGAAAAAAGAAAUACAUAUUCAAACAUAUUAAUGAAAAUCAUCCCCAAGUACGACACCGGAAGAGAAAGCAUUUUGGGUGGCUUGGUCCUCCCAUUGUAGCUCUUCCCACCAUUUUUUCGACCCCUCGAUGACAACUCGACGUUCCUUCGCGCUGCUGGAAUUGAGUGGGAGCUUCUUCAGCUGUCGGCAUUCACGUACUUCAAUUUUCUUCAGCUUUGGAAAGGGCAGGGGAUUCGGGUAAACGCUCUUUAAAUUUCUUCCCCACUUUAUGGUUAGAGAUUCGAGUUGUGCAAAAAAGUUAUGCUCUGACCCGAUUAUCUUCGAAAUAUCUCUCAAUUUAUCAACACUAAUUAUUUCUUCCGUUUCUGUACAAAAGACUAUACGCAGCUGCUUGAGAAUUUGAACAAAAACUAGCCACGUUAAGUCUUUCAUUUUUUUGCAACUCCAUAUGACAACUCUGUCGAGACUGCGGAAACCACUUUGAAAAAGUUUCUUUACCUCUUCUGUGCUGUCAGUCUUCAUCUCUUCCAAAUUACUGUCUGAAAUGCGUAACUCCUGAAGAUUCUCCAUGUAUGCUAGAUGUAAGACAUUGAACGGUGGACUUUCACAUUGGCAAACCAUUACAGAUUGAGUGAUGCUCACCAGCUUUGGAUAUUUCAAAAACUUUUGGACAGCAAGUGAACUUCGGAAGGUCCAGCUUAAAACAUUUAAAUGCUUCAAACCCAGCAAUUCCUUCAUCAAAGGUUCAGCAUCAUCACAUAGAACGUUACCUUCUAUUACGCUCCAGCGACCGCGUGAAAGCAACCUGAGUACCUCCAACUUUGAAAAGCCAGAUAUCAAUUGAUGUGGAAUUAUAGACAAAAACCGUGUAUAGUCCAAGUUCAAAUAUCUCAACUUCUCCAACGCCUUCAGCUCUUGCGGCAACCCAGUUAUGUUAGUCGAUGAUAGAUCAAGAUGAUGUAAUGAAACCAAACCUGAAAUCCCUGAAGGUAGUGUUCUUAGGGGAAAAUUUCCUCUUAGACUUAAUACUCUAAGAGAAGACAUCGAUUGAAAGAAGCCAUCAGUAAUCUCCUCAAUCCGAUUUCCACCCAGAAGUAAAGUUACGAGGCGCGGACACGUGGGAAUUUCCAAUAAGCUCCUAAUUCCAUUUCCCAUCAGAGAUACCCGUUUGGCACCUUCCCAUUCUUCAAACUUUGGUGCUUCGGUCAAUUCAACUCCAGCGCGAACCAGAAAGUUCUGCUCCUCCUUGUCUACCGUGCACGCUAUCCAUAAUGACAUCUCACGAAUCAUAUCGUGCAUCUUUACAUGAUCAUCGCCUUCUUCCUCCAAUAAGCAUGCAUGAAGAAGGUCAUCAAUAAAAUCGCAUCCACCAUCAAAAUCAUAUACAAAUCCUUCACUAAUCCAAUAAUCAAUCAAAUCCCUUUUAGGAAUUUCGUAGUCUUCAGGAUAUAAACAACAAUACAGGAGACAGGAACGAAGUUCGUCCGUAGACAAACUAUCAUAGCUGAACUUUAAACGCGAAAACACCUCUUCUUUCAUACCUGAGAAUUUAGAAGCUGAUGUUCUCAUUUUGUGAAUUGCACGUUUCCAAUCUCCAACUUUCCUUUGGCUUUUCAUGGCUCGACCCACUGUUUUAAGCGCUAGCGGCAACCCACCACACUCUCUUGCCAAGGUUUCGGCUAGCUCUGGAAUACCGGUAUGACUGUCCAGAGUGGAUCUGUCGACCAUCUCCUGAAAUAAUUCCCAGGCUUUAUCAUGCGCCAAACUAUACACUUCCACCUUUUCAGCGUCCAUUUGAUCGCAAACACCAGCUGAACGAGUUGUCAAGACUACUUUGGACCCAUCAUUUAGUUUUUGAAGAGGGACACCCAAUUCUGUUAAAUGAAUGGGUUUCCAUAUAUCAUCCAAUAACAACACAAACUUCCUUCUGCUUAAAAUGCUAGCGAUGUCCACAGCCUUGUCUUGAGGACUUUUUUUCGCCCAGCUUUGGUCUUCUGAAAAGCCAAUCCUUUUUCCAAUGUCAUCUUGAAGUGUUGACGCAGCCGCCCAGAUAACAACAUCAAAAUUAUGCUGUUGAUGGCAGAAGUUGUUGUUGACUUGUUUUAAAAGGGUAGUUUUGCCGACUCCCCCUAUACCAUACAAGCCGAUAAUUCCCCUGUUAUUUUCCUCAUCAGUGAUACAUCUCCAAACUCGAUCAAGUAAUAAUUCUUGACCAACAACUGUGUGCUCAACAGGUAAUUCAAUUGCUGCACCAUCCGGCGCCUUCUCAACAACCACUUCAAUUUUUUCUCCGUCUUUCUUUAAAUUGAUCACUCGAUCCGUCAACUCGACCACCUGAGUCCCGUAAUUGUAGCUUGAAACGAAGUUUUUGGAACAGAGGCCUCCAAGGCACAAUCUAUCGAUUUCAUGAGCUCUAACUCGUUCCAGCUCGGUAAAUUCAGUUUCCAGUUUUUGCACAUCUUCAAGCCACCCUGCGACCUGGUUCGUUCGUCUGGUUCGAGGUCGUUGUUCUUCGACCUCAACCUUGGUCUUCAGAUCGUCCCUUGCUCGAGUCAAUUUGUGCAAUUCAGUCUCCAAGACCCGAAGGUUUUUUUCGAGACCCCAUACAUAAUUUGCUUGUUCACCAACGCAGUUUGAAGUUCGAUCAAAUAAGUCUGCUGGUAAGAAGGUUGAGAUUAGGUUACCCAUUGUCGUUGACGAAAAGAGGAAGAGAAGCAACGAGUACAAUGAAAAGAAUUAAGCUAAUUUUUACUUAAAUUCUUAAGAAUUGCUGUCAAAUGCAAACAGAGUAUGAGAAUCAGGUCUUUAUUGAUUAUGAUGACUUGAAUGAAAAUGAAAUACAGAGCUUUGCUAGUUUACAUACAGAGACAAAAAAUAAUGACAGCUAGCCUAAGGGGUAUUACACGGAAGUAAUCAAAAUUGAUCCGUGAAUAUAGCAAUUGUGAACCAAUCACAUUAAGCUUCUAGAAGAUGCAACUAUUCAAUGCACAUGCGCUGCUAUUCUUCAACAUAACAGUUUUGCCAGCUCAACAAAUCCAACUCACAGAAUCAAGGUCAACCGUUGACUCUUCACAGCUGCUGCUUUCAACAAUUUUUAGAGAACCACAACACCAAAAUAAAAAUAUGAUACAUUUGUUGCUUUAUUCAUUAUGUCAAAUAUCAAGAAUAUAAUGAUACGUUUGCACGUCAUAUAAAAUUUGUAUUUCAACCAAGUAAUCACAUAGUUAAUAUUAAAUCUUAUCAUUUGUUAUCUAAGUGAUAAAUUUAUAUUGACAAUAUAUUAUUUAGAAUAAAAAUUUUCUACCUUAGGUUUGGAUGAAGAUCCAAAAUAUUAAGUCAAUGAUAGAUAGAUAAAAAAUAAAAUAAAAUAAAUUUUAACAUUAAUUUUUUAUUUAAUAAAAAGUAAAUUCAAUACAGAAUUCUAAUCCCUUAAUCUCUCUCCAUCCACGGCAAAAGAAAGCAGCAACUCAACUCUCUUUAAAGGCUAUGGAGGUUCUCUUGCGACCUCUCUUCAGCAUACCCUCCAGAACAUUAACCCCACCACCGCCAUCACCACCCUGUUAAACACGUUUUCAAAACGUGUAUAAUGUGGCCAUCUAAUUUAUUUUUAAUUAUUAGUUUUCUAAUUUAAAUUGAUAUUUAUCUUUAUUUAGUUUACUUUUAAAACGUUGGGUUUGGUUUAAAAUUUGAAUAAAGAUAAAACAUCUCUUCCUAAUAUCUCUCAUACACGUUACGGGUGGUUUACUAAAAUCAAGGGGAUAACGGCUCAUAACUUCCUCUUUUAUUUAAACUUGUCAUCUUGAUGGGAGAUGUUUUACGGUCACGUUUUUUCAAGAAAAAUAUUGAGGGUCCCUGGUCUAACAACAGAGCCUGUGUAUACCAUCUACUCUCAGGAAUUAAGUGUUGGAUAGACUAGAAAAUUCUGAGUACAAAGCAUGGCUUGUUUUCGUUGGUUUUGUUUGCAUUCCAGUAGAAAGGUUGUGUACAAUUGAAUUUGAUAACUAUGGCAGGAGGUAAGUUUUCUAACUUGUGCAUGAUGAAUAUAGUCUUUUACACCCCACCAAUCAUCUCACUCUCAAAACUCUCCAUUUUUGCCUCCAUUAAUUCCCACUCUCUCCAAAACCCUGAUUUCUUCCUCUUCUCGUUUCCUCUCGCCCGCCCCUGGUACGCCAAUUUCCAUUCUCUCGCUCUUUUUUUUGGCAAUUUUGGCUUGAGUUUUUUGGGUUUUUGGUAAUUUAUCUUUAAUUUUUGUGGGUAUCCUUCGUUUUUUUAGUUAUCAUACAUGAGUUGAGUAGUCGUAGACGAUUUUUUAUUGUUUUAAACUGAACGGAUUCUUUGUAUUUCGAAAAUGAAAUUCAUUGUUUGUGAAGUAACUUUUAAAGCUGUUGAGUUGAGUUUGAAAACUUAAUGUGCUUAAAUUUAUCUAUGUGGAUUUGAAUCAGUUAGACAAGCAGCACAGGAGAGCCAAUCGAGCGCGGAGGUGAAUGCCGAUAGAAGAGAAUGGUUUAUGCAAGGUACAUUAAUAGUAAUUUGAUCUGAUGCCAAUUUUAUUUCUAUAUUAAUUUAUUAGAUUAUGUAAUGUUAUAAAUUCUUUGUUCAAAAUGUAGAGCUUGGAAAUUUAGUCGGUACAUUAUGGUAAUGAAUGUAGCUUGUGUAUCUGUUCAAAUUUAUGUCUAGCUUUGCUGUUUUGGUAAUGGUUUGUUUAGUAUAAAUUUUGUGUUGGUUAUGAUGUUGUUUAGUGGUUUGGAUCACUCGUGCUCUUUUGGCCCCCACUAAAAUUAAUUUUUCAUCAAAGGAUAUGAAUAGUUGUUCGAUGGAAACUUAAUGGAAGAUGUGGGAGCAUCUUUAUGAGUUAAGAUUCCCUGUAGCGAGUAUAUCCUUUGGUGCAUGAGAGUUUAAGUGAUUAUCGUCAUUGUUGAGUUAAACAAUGGGAUUAAUUUUCAUGUUCAUGUAAGGUGAUCAUCGCUAAAGUUAGAGCCAUUAGGUGAUAAAUUGAUACUUCAUUGUGUUGUUAUGUUUGUUAUACUGGAUAAAAAUCCCAGUGAUAGAAUUCAUGUUAGGCGGUUUUGGGUCCUAUUCAAUCCCAAAAGAUGAAUAAGGGGUGAGGCUUUCCCUCACAAUUGUAAAAUCACCACCAUCCUAGUUCACAACCGAUAUAAGACAACCCAACAAUCUCUCCCGCACAUAUUGGGCCUUGGUUCAAAAGCAUGGACACUCGUUUUCACUAGUAGGCUGUUGGACUGAGAUGUUGGUGAAUCUUUUAGUUGAUUUUUUUUUUUUUAUAAAAAGGAAAAGAUUAUGAAGAGAUAAAUACAAUAAAGAAAAAAAGAGAUCAAUAUUGCAAUAAAACAUUUAUGUAGUGAUAUUUUAUAUAAGAAUAAUUUCAUAUAGCUAUAAAAGUAAUGGUCCUAAUUUAUAUUAGGCCAAUUAUAAAUAAGAAUAAAUUUCAUGCUGUAAUAAUUUAUAAUUUUGCUAAAUCUCACCUUAAGGAGCUCACCUCCACGUAGUGUAAAUAUAUAUAUAGAAAAAAAAAAUAUGUUAUAUUACAUUAAGUGAACUUGGGGGUUGUUUGGUACCCCUCUUUACCUGGGAUUGCAUUGUGUUAGCAAUGCAACCCCAUGUUUGGGGUACCAAAUGGCUAUAUUAGCUAAACUCGACAUAUAGUCGGGUUUAGCUAAUGCGUCCAGUUACCGCAUUAGCUUUAGCUUCCUCUUUUUUUUUUUUUUUAUACUUUGUAAUAAUGAUAAAUGAAUAUAAUUUUUAAUUUAAUAUUAUAUAAUAUUAUUUUUACUUUAUAAUUUUAAUAUAAAUUAAUAAAUUUAUUGUUUAAUAAUAUUAUAUUAUAUUUUAAUUUUUAUCAUAGUAAAUGUACAACUAAAAAAUGUAUUAUUUAAUUAUAUUACAUUAAUUAAUAUGUAAAAUUAUAUUAAUUAAUAUAUAUAAUUGAUUAAUUUUUAAUAAGUUAAUAUAACUAAUAAUAAAUACUUAAAUAAUAUAAUAUAAUAUAAUAUUAUUUAAUUUAUUAAAAUAAUUAAACUAGUUAUUUUUAAAUAAUUUAAUAUAACUAAUAAUAAAUAUUUAAAUAUGAAUAAAUUUGAAUAAUAUUAAUUAAAAAUUAAUAAAAUAUAUAAUUAUUAGAUUGUUUAGCACAAUUCAUUUUUUAGCACAAUUCAUUAGUAUUUUCUAAAUAUAUAAUUUAAAUUAGUCACAAAAAAUUAAUACAAUAUAGUGCAAUAUCAAAUAUAAUAUAAUUAAAAAUUAAAUAUAAUACAGUAUAGUACCAAACAUUAUACAACAUUAUUAUAAUACAUUACUAAUACAACACAACAUAAUGCAAUACACCUGCAUUAAAAUAAUGCAAUACAAUAUAAUAUAAUACAGCGUGCCAAACGCACUCUUGUAUCCAUAUAGUACAAAAACAACAUAAGAGAAAAAUGUUAAAGAGAACACAAAAGUUCAGAGACUUUUAAGAUAAUGUUUUAUAUUUGUAACAAGCAUGUGCUAACUUUUUUGAAACCAUGUAUAUUUAUUUUUUCCCUAAGUUACAUGCAUGUAACUUAGCAUUAGCCUCAUUUUAUUAUUAUCUAUACAUUGGAUUUGACAUGUUUCAUUAAUAAUUUAUUACUACAUCUCUAUUAAAAUAAUUGAGGUCCUGCACUUUCAUUGGAAGAUAGGAGAAAAAAAUAAUUGAUAAGAGAAGAAAACAAUUUAAAAUAAAAUUUUAAAAUAUUUAUCAUUACUUAAAAAAAUUAAUUUUCUUUUCCUAAAGUUAUUCCACAGACGGUAGUACAAAAUUAUGUGAUCACGCACGCACACAGUGAUAGGGUAAUUAUUGAAACAAAAAUGAAAUUUGUCUGUUUUCCAUUUGAAAUCUAUUACUAAUAUAAAGGAAAAGAAAAAUCUUUAAUUACUUUUUUUUUUUUUCAUGUAGGGCAAGGCAAACAUCACUAUCUUGUUAAAUUAAUAUUUAAAAUUAUCCCACCAAAUGUAAUUAUAACAAAUUAAAUAAAUAUUUACUAUGAGUUCAGCAUCUGGGUUCCCACUCCAUAAAUAUGCCAGCAUUUUAAAACAAACAAGACUUAGAGUGUGUUUGGGAUUGAGGUGCUGUAGCUUUUAAGCUACAGCUGCUGUGAAAAAAAAACUGUAAUUAUGAAACAAAAUUUAAUAAUAUAUAGUAAAUAUAAAUUUUAAAUAAUAAUUUUGAUAAAAAUAUUAAAGAUAUAAUAAAUUUUAUAUUAUACAAGUGAAAAAUCAUAUUAACAUAGCUUAAAAGCUACAGCAGCUAGUGUUUACCAAACACUACAGCUGCCCAACCUCAAUCCCAAACGCACUCUUAAGCGACAAAUACAAUUUUGUCAAUGAGUAUAAAGGUCGCAUUAUAAGCCAAAGGAGAGCAGUUAAGGGAAGAUAAAAUAUUAUUGUAUUGAACUGGUUAUUUCUCUCUAGGGGUGGCAAAAAAGUCUGGGCUGGUCUAGGCCCGCGGGCCUAAAGCCCGGCCCGUAAGGGUGGGCCCAGAUAUUGGCCUAAAAAUUACAAAGCCCACAUAUGUGGGAUCUGGACAAGGGCUUAGCAAAAAAGCCCGGACUUGGCCCAGGCUUUUUAAAUUUAUGAAUAAAAAAUAAAUUUAAUUUAAAUAAAAAAAGAAAAAACUCAAAAUAUUAAAUUAGUUUAAUUUUUUAUAUUAGUAUUUGUUAUUUUAUUAGGUUGUAUUAUUAAUAUUUUAUGUAUUGGACUAUUAUUCUAUUUUAUAUAUUAGAUGAUUAUCUUUAAUUUAAAUUUUUUCUUAAUUUAAAAAAUAUUUUAUAAUUAAUUUAAAAAGCCCAAGCCCGGCCCAGGCCCGGCCCGAGUUCGGUCCGUCCAAAUUUAAACGGGUUUUUGAAGGGCCUGGACUUCGUUUGAAUGAUGUGGGCUUGGGCCUGGGCUUUGAAAAGCCCGGCCCAAACCCGCAAAUUGCCAUCCCUAUUUCUCUCUCUUCUAUUAUUAAUUUGUUGUUAAUUAUAACCUUUGCGGGAUUUAAAAAAAAGAAAAAGGCCCUUGCGUUUUCAUCAACAUUACACUGCCAAAUGUGAAAUGGAUUGAGAACCACAUGUCCUUAUUAUGCUGCCACUCCACAAAUGUUUAUUUUCCCCUCAUUCUCCUUAGAAGCCAGAGGCAGAGUCAGUCCUGCACCCCUUUACGUAUGCCUUCUCCAUAAAUUAACAUAAACGAUUAGUAUUAGAGCUGGCAAAAUGGGUCAUCGGGUCGUGUUUGUAUUGUGUCAGCUUCGUGUCGUGUCAAAUUUAGGUCGACCCAUACUCGACCCAUUUAAUAAUCGUGUCAAAAUAUUGAGACACAAACCCGACACGGAAAAAUAAUCAGGUUAUCCAAUAACCCGCUAUCUAUAUAUUAAACAAAAGUUACAUCAAAUAUUUACACAUUUUCAUACAUACGUAUGCGCAUACAUACAUACAUAAUUUAUUGAUAUUAUAAAAUAUACAUAUCUACUAAAAUAUUAGACACACUAUUGAGGUUUUAAUUAUAUAUGUGUAAAUAAUAUUAUAUAUCAAUAUUAUAAAAUAUAUAUGUCUACGAAUAUUUUAUACAUUUAUACUAGCUCUAAAUGUAUUUAAAAAUUCAUAAAUAAAAUAUUAUGUCUAUAUUCAUCCUUUUAAAGAAUUAAAAAAAAUCAUCUCUAAUAUUUGAGUUUUGGUGACAAGAAUUUACAAAUUAUUUUAAAAUAGAAAAUAUAAUCGGGUCAUUGAUCGGGUAAAUGGGUCAAGAAUUUUAACUCUAACCCGACACGAAAAAAAAUCGUGUUGACCCGGACCCGACCCAUUUAAUAAUCGUGUUAAAUUCAACGACUCAUACCCAUUUAUUAGUGUUGUGUUCGUAUUGGGUAAUCGGGCCGUGUCAAAUUUUGCCAUAUCUAAUUAGUAUAAGAUGAUUUAACCACACAAUAUGUCAAAUUUACAUUUUGCAAUCAUUGAUACUUGGUGCUACAGUCAAAUUUAUAUUUAUUCAAGGUAGCGGGUUCAAUAAUUAAAUUCACAUAAAAAGAAAGAUGCAUUCACCCUUAAUGGCCCAGGAGCCAACCAAAUUCCGCGUCCGCGAAGUGAGGCACUUUUCUUAAAGUUAUUUCACAGACGGAAGAACAAAAUUCUGUGAUCACGCACAAAGUGAUAGGGCAAUUAUUGAAACAUAAAUAAUGUCUAUUUCCCAUCCGAAAUCUGUUCUAAUAUAAAGGACAAGAAAAAGUUUUAAUUAUUAUUAUUAUUAUUUUUCACGUAGGGCAAGGCAAACAUCACUAUCUUGUUAAAUUAACAUUUAACAUUGUCCCACCAAAUAUAAUUAUAACCAAUUAAAUAAAUAUUUACUAUGAGUUCAGCAUCUGAGUUCCCACUCCAUAAAUAUGCCAGUAUUUUAAAACAAACAAGACUUAAGCGACAAAUACAAUUUUGUCACCGAGUGUAAAGGUCGCAUUUUAAGCCAAAGGAGAGCAGUUAAAAGGAAGAUAAAAUAUUACCGUAUUUCUCUCUCUUCUAUUAUUAGUUUGUUGUUAAUUAUAACCCUUUUCGGGAUUAAAAAAAGAAAAGAAAAAGGCCUUUGCGUUUUCUAUUAGCAUGUGUACAUGUUUAUUUUCUGUGUUAGUAGUGCAGAGUAUAUACUGAACACACUGGACAAAAAGGGUAAUUUGUAAUCAAUUUAGUUUUAUAAACAUUAAUCUCGGAAGUAGUUACUGAACUUCAUGUGGAAAAAAAAAUAAAAAAAGAUAGUCGCUGAGCAAUAAAUCUACAAGUCAUCAAAAUCGAGCAAUUCUAUGGCAAGAAUUCUUUCCAGUGGGAGGAUUCUAAAACCAAGAAUCCACUGCUGAAAUUUUAUUCACUGAAAAUAGGGAACGAUUGACACACCAGACAACAAGAACAAGAUGCAAUUAAAUCUAAUGAAAAUUAAAAAAAGAAAAAAGAAAUACAUAUUCAAACAUAUUAAUGAAAAUCAUCCCCAAGUACGACACCGGAAGAGAAAGCAUUUUGGGUGGCUUGAUCCUCCCAUUGUAGCUCUUCCCACCAUUCUUUCUCUCCCUCGAUGACAACUCGACGUUCCUUCACGCUGCUGGAAUUGACUGGGAGCUUCUUCAGCUGUGGGCAUCCACGUACUUGAAUUUUCUUCAGCUUUGGAAGGGGCAGGGGAUUCGGGUAAACGCUCUUUAAAUUUCUUCCCCACUUUAUGGUUAGAGAUUCGAGUUGUGCAAAAAAGUUAUGCUCUGACCCGAUUAUCUCCGAAAUAUCUCUCAAUUUAUCAACACUAAUUAUUUCUUCCAUUUCUGUACAAAAGACUAUACGCAGCUGCUUGAGAAUUUGAACAAAAACUAGCCACGUUAAGUCUUUCAUUUUUUUGCAACUGCUUAUGACAACUCUGUCGAGACUGCGGAAACCACUUUGAAAAAGCUUCUUCACCUCUUCUGUGCUGUCAAUCUUCAUCUCUUCCAAGUUAAUGUCUUCAAGAUCUAACUCCUGAAGAUUCUCCAUGUAUGCGAGAUGUAAGAGAUUGAACGGUGCACUUUUACAAUGGUAAACCAAUACAAAUUGAGUGAUGCUCACCAGCUUUGGAUAUUUCAAAAACUUUUGGACAGCAAGUGAACUUCCGAAGGACCAGCUUAAAACAUUUAAAUGCUUCAAACCCAGCAAUUCCUUCAUCAAAGGUUCAGCACCAUCACAUAGAACGUUACCUUCUUUCCCUUUUAUUACCGAAAGCGACCGCACCCACGCAACCUGAGUACCUCCAACUUUGAAAAGCCAGAUAUCAAUUCAUGUGGAAUUAUAGACAAAUGAAAUGCAUAGUCCAAGUUCAAAUAUCUCAGCUUCUCCAAUGCCUUCAGCUCUUGCGGCAACCCAGUUAUGUCAGUCGAUGAAAGAUCAAGAUGAUGUAAUGAAACCAAACUUGAAAUCCCUGAAGGUAGUUUACUUAGGGAAAGAUUUAUUCGUAGACUUAAUACUCUAAGAGAAGACAUCGAUUGAAAGAAGCCAUCAGUAAUCUCCUCAAUCCAAUUUCCAUCCAGAAGUAAAGUGACGAGACGUGGACACGUGGGAAUUUCCGAUAGGCUUUGAAUUCUAGUUUUCAUCAGAGAUAUCCGUUUGGCACCUUCCCAUUCUUCAACCUUUGGUGCUUCGGUCAGUUUAACUCCAGCGUGAACCAGAAAGUUCUGCUCCUCCUUGUCUACCGUGCACGCUAUCCAUAAUGACAUCUCACGAAUCAUAUCGUGCAUCUUUACAUGAUCAUCGCCUUCUUCCUCCAAUAAGCAUGCUUGAAGAAGGUCAUCAAUAAAAUCGCAUCCAUCAUCAAAAUCACACACAAAUCCUUCACUAAUCCAGUAAUCAAUCAAUUCCCUUCUAGGAAUUUCGUAGUCUUCAGGGUACAAACAACAAUACAGGAGACAGGAACGAAGUUCGUCCGUAGACAAACUAUCAUAGCUGAACUUUAAACGCGAAAACACCUCUUCUUUCAUACCUGAGCAUUUAGAAGCUGAUGUUCUCAUUUUGUGAAUUGCACGUUUCCAAUCUCCAACUUUCCUUUGGCUUUUCAUCGCUCGACCCACUGUUUUAAGCGCUAGCGGCAACCCACCACACUCUCUUGCCAAGGUUUCGGCUAGCUCUGGAAUACUGGUAUGACUGUCAAGAGUGGAUCUUUCGACCAUCUCCUGAAAUAAUUCCCAGGCUUUAUCAUGCGCCAAACUAUACACUUCCACCUUUUCAGCGUCCAUUUGAUCGCAAACACCAGCUGAA
rnacentral:lncRNA from 1 species